UACUAUGCCCCCAGUUUAAUAAUGGGAAAACAGAAGCACAGAGAGGUUAAGUAACCUGCCCAAGGUCCACAGGACACAGCAGGGCUGAGAUUCCAGCUCAGGCAGCCCGACCUCAGUGCCUUGGCACUUACUCCCUGCACGGCACAGACUCAGAAUUCAGUGGGGUUUCAGACGUGCUCCCAGCACACUCCCAGCCCCACUGUUUCCCAGGCCAGAGCUGACUUGCUUCAGUCGUAAGAGUAACUUGGAGGAAAUUGAGAAAUGCCUACGAAAGCGGAGCUCCUACUGGACGCUCUUCUCCUGCCAAGGAAAAGACCCAGGUAGCUUAACCCACGCCAAGAGCUGCUCACAGCUAUCAGAAAUUGAGUUGCAAUUAGCAUGCUCAUCCAUCUCCUUCCACGCCGCGGAAGGCGGACUCUCAGCCCAGCGUCCUUGCAAGGUCGUACAGCAGCCCGCAGAGAGCCCUGGACGGCUGGGACUGGGGAAGCCCCAUCUCACGGGAGAAGAUAGGUUCUCAGUUUCUGCCCGCCACCCUGCAAAGCAUGUCGAAUACAUACAAUCAGAAGGCGGUGCAGUGUGGUCGAUCAGGUAUCCGGCUUCCAAUGCUACUUAUCAGCUGUGUGACCUCAGGGUCAAUUAAAAGUGCCAGGAAAACGUCAGUCUCCACGGCAAGGGAAUUCAUCCAUUUGCCACACUUCAGGGAGCAGAGAAGCAACUGCCCACCCCUGUAGGGGACUCAAGUUCCCUCCUGACCUGAGUCAGGGUGCUGUCGGCGGGGGCCAGCCUGAGGCUUCUGUUCCGCAAUGGCUGGGGGACGCACAUACCUGGGGCCCCAGCCCACGUCCCUGAGGCUCACGAUAGAAGAGAAGGCAUUGCCAGCUCCAUUCUACUUUUGCUGAAAUUCAGCGCAGCCAGAGGCCACCCUUUCCAGGGGAGAAAUCUCACUCCGGCUUAGAAAGCAGUGCCAACUAUGCUCUUGAAUAGCAACUCCAAUAUUGCAACUCAAAUUCUGUCUUCUUUGUGGGCUGCGAAAGAUGUUCAGUGGCAAGUGUGUGGAUCUCAAAAGGUGCAUCAUUUGUUUAACCUCACUUCUGCCUUUUUCCUUCUCCUAUUUCCAGUUUGCUACCUUCUCUUCAUUUACUCUUUUAUAAUCUCUCACUGUAUCACAUGGAGAAUUCUAGAAUCUAAAGACUCAGACAUCCUUCCAUAGUGCUUGAACCAAUUUACAUCCUCACCAGGCAUCUGGAAAUUCUCAUCAAAAUCGCAAAGGCGUAUAGCCUUGGACCCGGCAAUUGUGUCAGCAGAAAUUUAUUGUGCAGAUUUACUUGCACCCACACAAAAUGAUAUGUGUCAGCGAUUAGAAAUAGCCCAAAUGUCCAUCAACGGGUGACUGGUAAAUCCAUAAAUGGAAUACU
rnacentral:lncRNA from 1 species